UGUGGUAGUGAUGGUGAAAGUGCUAGCGUAGAAACGGCAGAUGCUUUUCAUGCUCUCUUUGCUAGCGCUUCCACCAAGGUUACCACU
rnacentral:ncRNA from 2 species